AUUGAACGCUGGCGGCAUGCUUUACACAUGCAAGUCGAACGGUAACAGGCCGCAAGGUGCUGACGAGUGGCGAACGGGUGAGUAAUGCAUCGGAACGUGCCCAGUCGCGGGGGAUAACGCAGCGAAAGCUGCGCUAAUACCGCAUACGAUCUAUGGAUGAAAGCGGGGGACCGUAAGGCCUCGCGCGAUUGGAGCGGCCGAUGUCAGAUUAGGUAGUUGGUGGGGUAAAGGCUCACCAAGCCGACGAUCUGUAGCUGGUCUGAGAGGACGACCAGCCACACUGGGACUGAGACACGGCCCAGACUCCUACGGGAGGCAGCAGUGGGGAAUUUUGGACAAUGGGCGCAAGCCUGAUCCAGCAAUGCCGCGUGCAGGAAGAAGGCCUUCGGGUUGUAAACUGCUUUUGUACGGAACGAAACGGUCCUGGUUAAUACCCGGGGCUAAUGACGGUACCGUAAGAAUAAGCACCGGCUAACUACGUGCCAGCAGCCGCAGUAACAC
rnacentral:rRNA from 1 species